rnacentral:miRNA from 1 species
CGGUGAUCUGGGGAGGAAGGUUAGCGCGCGUUCCCGUUGUAGUGGGCAUAUUGAUAUCGCUCGUUAACCGACCUCUCCGGAUUACUG